GCUACCUAAAAAAAAUCAGGCAAUUGAUCAAAAGUUAAGUUUAUUAUAUGAUUUUCCUGCUAUUUCCCCUUCCCUAUAGUGUUUUCCCUAAUUUUACUAAAAUAUUAACCUUCUCAUAGGCUCUAUAUGCUUAUAAAUUUGAUGAAUAUGUCUAUACACUGAGCUCAUCCUUACCCUGAAUUAAAAUGCAAAAAUAUUCAGUAGAAUAAGAAAUAUUUCAGUAGAAUAAGAAUAUUUCCAAAGCUUUGGUUUAAAAACAUGCUUCUAAGAAAUUUGACUUUUCCAGUGACCUAAAUAUUCUUUAAGCAGCUGGCUUCCCUGGGAUGUGCAGCACCUAAUUGAAGUAGUUUCAUAACCACCCUUGUUCUUCACGUGUUUAAUGAACAACUCAAAGUAGCACAUCAGUCACUUGGCUAAUAAGCAUUCUCUGAAGUUCAUAGAAAUGUAGGGAAAGGCUUCCUUUAUUCUUCCACUGUGUAUUAUGUUCCCCAAGCAUGUAUUAUUAUUAUUCUUAUUACCCAGUUGAACUAGUCUAAUUUGCAGUUGGAUAAAUCAUAAGCCAGUUGAUUCUCAAGCCUCUCCAAGUUAUUACUUUACUUUAUCCAAAGAUUUUAUAGCAGAGAACACUGGGGAUAUUCCAGAUGACUCAAAGUUAUUUCUUUCUCUCUCUCUAAUGCUUAUAAAAGUCCAAAAAACUCUUAUACAGUAGAAAACUCCCAUAAAUAAUUAGUAUUGCCUUACAUUGGUAAAAAACAAAAAUACUUAAAGCAAUCCAUUAAAACGAAAGGUUACCACACUCAAAAGUGCUAGUUUUUCCAUAUAUGGAACUAUAUUGGUUCCUAAUAUAUAACUGGAAUAUAUUGGUUCUUAAAAUGUUUUUGCAGGUAGGUAUUUCUAGGUCUGGCCACCCAGAAUCCAAAUCCCCUUCCUAUAAUAGUAAUAACACCCUAAUGAGUGGGGAGUAUAAAACCCACCUCAGUUUAGACUAUGCUGCAGGGAACACGUUUAUCACAUUGUAUCCAAGACUGGGACCCAAGCUAAACUGAUCUUUGAUUCCAUUACUCUGCCCCCAGAAAUGGUUUAGUGACAUGCACAUCACAUAAUGUGAUCUAGCAAAAACAAGAACUAUUAUUCAGUACCUGGAAGAGGAGACUGAUUAGGAAUCAUGCUAAUUUAGGGUUCCCUGGCAGCCAUCUUGGGAGAUCUAGGAGGAAAGUCUGUUGAAAAUAAAGCAAACCCACAGAAUGGAGCUCCUAAGUGGAAAGAGGAGAGGAAAAUCAGGUCUGCUCACAUCACUUGAGCCACUGGAUCAAUUUUCACUUGUAGUCAGAUCACUCUGUGAAGUUUUCAGUUAUGAGAGUCAUUCAUUUUUAAACCAGGUUGACUUGGCUUUCCAAUUUCCUAUAAAUAAAAAUAUCUCAAAUAAGAGUUCCCAUUGUUGCUUAGUAGAAAUAAAAUUGACUGGUAUCCAUGAGGAUGCGGGUUUGAGCCUUGGCCCUGCUCGGUGGGUUAAAGGAUCUGGUGUUGCAAUGAGCUGAGGCCAGCAGCUGUAGCGCUGAUUUGACCCCUAGCCUGGGAACUUUCACAUGCCAUGGGUGGAGCCUGAAAAAGCCAAAACAAAACAAAACAAAAAAUUCAGUGAUAGAAGUGUCCAUAGAGGAAGCUAUGAUUCUGGGUGUACUAAAUACUAGUUUCAGGAACAUAAAUAUAAACAAGAUGUUAUUUCCACCCUCAACCUACAGCAAAGUUCUCUUUCCGGGCUCCUCAAUGAUACAUGGAUUAAGGAAUCCUGUUUUUCACUUUCUUAUACCAACUACACACAAAAAAAUAUGGAUAUGGUUGUCCUGAUUCUCAGGCAAACAAUAUUUCAUUUCAGUUUAGCAGCACUCCUGCUAAGUUGGUUCAGAUAGAUGUGAAAUGUAUGGGGUCCACAAGAUUUUCGGAUUCAUUAUGCCUAUUUAAAGAUGACUCAACCAUAAAAAUAAAAAAUAAAAAAAAGAUGACUCAACCAAUAAACAGAUUUUGAUGAUGUUCACAAAGAAGGAGCAUGGUCCUAGGACUUAGCAGACUUCCCAUUGUUCUGUCCUUCCGAUUUGACUAUGACAACUGAACUGCUGGGAAAGUCAGUAUCUUACAAAAUCCCUAAUACCCUACCCACCCACCUGCAGCUCUAUAUGGUCCUCAUUUCUAGAUGCAUAAAGUUCCCCUUAUUUGUAUUAAUACAAGAGAAAGAUGUUUACCACCUUUUUUUUUUUUUUUUUUUUGUCUUUUGUCUUUUGUCUUUGUUGUUGUUGUUGUUGUUGUUGUUGUUGCUAUUUCUUGUUCCUGAGGUUCCCAGGCUAGGGAUCCAAUCGGAGCUGUAGCCACCGGCCUACGCCAGAGCCACAGCAACGAGGGAUCCAAGCCGCGUCUGCAACCUACACCACAGCUCAGGGCAACGCCGGAUCGUUAACCCACUGAGCAAGGGCAGGGACCGAACCCGCGACCUCAUGGUUCCUAGUCGGAUUCGUUAACCACUGCGCCACGACGGGAACUCCCA
rnacentral:lncRNA from 1 species